GAUGAACGCUGGCGGCGUGCCUAAUACAUGCAAGUCGAGCGAACGGACGAGAAGCUUGCUUCUCUGAUGUUAGCGGCGGACGGGUGAGUAACACGUGGAUAACCUACCUAUAAGACUGGGAUAACUUCGGGAAACCGGAGCUAAUACCGGAUGAUAUUUUGAACCGCAUGGUUCAAAAGUGAAAGACGGUCUUGCUGUCACUUAUAGAUGGAUCCGCGCUGCAUUAGCUAGUUGGUAAGGUAACGGCUUACCAAGGCAACGAUGCAUAGCCGACCUGAGAGGGUGAUCGGCCACACGGGAACUGAGACAAGGUCCAGACUCCUACGGGAGGCAGCAGUAGGGAAUCUUCCGCAAUGGGCGAAAGCCUGACGGAGCAACGCCGCGUGAGUGAUGAAGGUCUUCGGAUCGUAAAACUCUGUUAUUAGGGAAGAACAUAUGUGUAAGUAACUGUGCACAUCUUGACGGUACCUAAUCAGAAAGCCACGGCUAACUACGUG
rnacentral:rRNA from 1 species